rnacentral:rRNA from 1 species
AUUGAACGCUGGCGGCAGGCCUAACACAUGCAAGUCGAGCGAGCGGCGGACGGGUGAGUAAUGUAUGGGGACUGCCCGAUAGAGGGGGAUAACUACUGGAAACGGUGGCUAAUACCGCAUACUAUCGGAUAACCCAUAUGGGAUUAGCUAGUAGGUGGGGAAAAGGCUACCAUAGGCGACGAUCUCUAGCUGGUCUGAGGAGGUGAUGAGCCACACUGGGACUAAUACACGGCACAGACUCCUACGGCUGCAGCAGUGGGGAAUAUUGCACAAUGGGCGCAAGCCUGAUGCAGCCAUGCGGGGUGUAUGAAGAAGGCCUGAGGGUUGUAAAGUACUUUCAGCGGGGAGGCGUUACCCGCAGAAGAAGCACCGGCUAACUCCGUGACAGCAGCCGCGGUAAUU